UAAGGAAUAUUGCUCAAUGGGAGAAAUCCUGAAGCAGCAACGCCGCGUGGAGGAUGAAGGGUCUAUGACUUGUAAACUCCUGUAAAGAAGGAAAAAAUUCCCAUUUGAUGGGAGAUGAUGGUACUUCUGGAGUAAGCCCCGGCUAACUACGUGCCAGCAGCCGCGGUAAUACGUAGGGGGCAGGCGUUGUCCGGAUUUACUGGGUGUAAAGGGUGCUCAGGCGGAUUUGUAAGUCAGAGGUGAAAUCUUACAGCUUAACUGUGAAACUGCCUUUGAUACUGCAAGCCUAGAGUAUGGAAGAGAGUGAUGGAAUAUCUGGUGUAGCAGUGAAAUGCGUAGAUAUCAGAUAGAACACCAAUGGCGAAGGCAGUCACUUGGUCCAUUACUGACGCUAAAGCACGAAAGCGUGGGUAGCAAACA
rnacentral:rRNA from 1 species